rnacentral:rRNA from 1 species
GACGAACGCUGGCGGCGUGCCUAAUACAUGCAAGUCGAGCGGACGUUGUUGGAGCUUGCUCCAAUAACGUUAGCGGCGGACGGGUGAGUAACACGUGGGCAACCUGCCUUAACGACUGGGAUAACUCCGGGAAACCGGGGCUAAUACCGGAUAACAUCUAGCACCUCCUGGUGCAAGAUUAAAAGAGGGCCUCUGGCUCUCACGUUAAGAUGGGCCCGCGGCGCAUUAGCUAGUUGGAGAGGUAAUGGCUCCCCAAGGCGACGAUGCGUAGCCGACCUGAGAGGGUGAUCGGCCACACUGGGACUGAGACACGGCCCAGACUCCUACGGGAGGCAGCAGUAGGGAAUCUUCCGCAAUGGACGAAAGUCUGACGGAGCAACGCCGCGUGAGUGAAGAAGGGUUUCGGCUCGUAAAGCUCUGUUAUGAGGGAAGAACACGUACCGUUCGAAUAGGGCGGUACCUUGACGGUACCUCAUCAGAAAGCCACGGCUAACUACGUGCCAGCAGCCGCGGUAA